rnacentral:rRNA from 1 species
AGUCCAGACUCCUACGGGAGGCAGCAGUGGGGAAUAUUGCACAAUGGGGGAAACCCUGAUGCAGCGACGCCGCGUGGGUGAGGAAGUAUUUCGGUAUGUAAAGUUCUAUCAGCAGGGAAGAAAAUGACAGUACCUGACCAAGAAGCCCCGGCUAACUACGUGCCAGCAGCCGCGGUAAUACGUAGGGGGCGAGCGUUAUCCGGAUUCACUGGGUGUAAAGGGAGCGUAGACGGCCAUGCAAGCCAGGGGUGAAAGCCCGGGGCCCAACCCCGGGACUGCCCUUGGAACUGCAUGGCUGGAGUGCGGGAGGGGCAGGCGGAAUUCCUAGUGUAGCGGUGAAAUGCGUAGAUAUUAGGAGGAACACCAGUGGCGAAGGCGGCCUGCUGGACGAUGACUGACGUUGAGGCUCGAAAGCGUGGGGAGCAAACAGGAUUAGAUACCCGAGUAA